UAGGGAAUCUUCGGCAAUGGACGAAAGUCUGACCGAGCAACGCCGCGUGAGUGAAGAAGGUUUUCGGAUCGUAAAACUCUGUUGGUAGAGAAGAACGUUGGUGAGAGUGGAAAGCUCAUCAAGUGACGGUAACUACCCAGAAAGGGACGGCUAACUACGUGCCAGCAGCCGCGGUAAUACGUAGGUCCCGAGCGUUGUCCGGAUUUAUUGGGCGUAAAGCGAGCGCAGGUGGUUUAUUAAGUCUGGUGUAAAAGGCAGUGGCUCAACCAUUGUAUGCAUUGGAAACUGGUAGACUUGAGUGCAGGAGAGGAGAGUGGAAUUCCAUGUGUAGCGGUGAAAUGCGUAGAUAUAUGGAGGAACACCGGUGGCGAAAGCGGCUCUCUGGCCUGUAACUGACACUGAGGCUCGAAAGCGUGGGGAGCAAACAGGAUUAGAUACCC
rnacentral:rRNA from 1 species